UUUAAGAUGGGCAGGCUUUGCUCUCCCUUUAGAGCAUGGCAAGGAGAGGAAGAGGUGCAAGUCACAGGAGGAAUGAAAUAUGUUUGUGUCAGACCCAUUUGUUCACCCUCAGGCUUAGCUCAGCACUGGCUGAAUACAGUCAUUUUCCAAACUUGACUUUCUACUGUCAAGGCUUACAUUUAUUAAACACUUCUCAUAUCAUUUUCAGAGUUGAAUAGGAGUUCAAAAUGUUCUGCAAACUGCUACAAAAAAGGUAUUCAGAUUACAGGGUCAGUGACUAUAUUUUCCCUUCUUUCUAUUUAGUUGUUUUUCUUUUAUAUUCCAUCAUCCACAGCGAAUAUGCACAGGAAAAAAAGACCUGGGAGGCCAGGGACUGAAGAAGGGAAGAGAGGGAGUUGCGAACAAGAGCAAGAGGGAAGAGAGAGCUGGUGGGAACAGGGAAUGUUGGCUUUAACUGGAGCUGCUGACCCCGCCACGCUGGGACCUACAGCACUUUCUGUGCAGUCAUCACUGAAACAAACAGCUUGAACACGAUCAGCCCAGUGACAGCCCCUUCAGAAAGAUGCCUGUUGAGGCUUUCUUUCACCCUGUAUAUUGACUCUGAGACAACGUAUUUCAAACUCCUGGAAGCCUGACUUCCUCUGGCCACUCUACAUAAAUAGGAAACCAGUUCUGAACCUCCUCAUCCUGCAGUACACCCCCACCUCUGUGAAUACUUUUCUCACUCUGUGUCUGCAUUGCCAGCACACCAGCAUAGAAGAUACACUCCAUGCUUUGAGGAAUCAACCGCCUGUUAUCAGUCUUGCUGUACUAAGAUGUGUAUGCUAAAACUGUGUUACCUUUGCUAGGAUGUUGAAAUGAGUACUUUGUGAUACUAGUGGAUUAAAUCAUAAAUAUAAUAAACUCAGUAUUUAUUAGGA